CCUACGGGAGGCAGCAGUGAGGAAUAUUGGUCAAUGGGCGAGAGCCUGAACCAGCCAAGUCGCGUGAAGGAAGACUGCCCUACGGGUUGUAAACCUCUUUUAUCAAGGAGUAAAGUGAGGCACGUGUGCCUUUUUGAAUGUACCUUAUGAAUAAGCAUCGGCUAACUCCGUGCCAGCAGCCGCGGUAAUACGGAGGAUCCGAGCGUUAUCCGGAUUUAUUGGGUUUAAAGGGAGCGUAGAUGGGUGGUGAAGUCAGUUGUGAAAGUUGGCGGCUCAACCCUAGAAUUGCAUUUGAUACUGGCAGCCUUGAGUACAGUUGAGGUAGGCGGAAUGCGUGGUGUAGCGGUGAAAUGCAUAGAUAUCACGAAGAACUCCGAUUGCGAAGGCAGCCUACUAGACUGCCACUGACAUUGAUGCACGAAAGUGUGGGUAUCAAACAGGAUUAGAUACCCUGGUAGUC
rnacentral:rRNA from 1 species